ACGGGAGGCAGCAGUGGGGAAUAUUGCACAAUGGGGGAAACCCUGAUGCAGCGAUGCCGCGUGGAGGAAGAAGGUUUUCGGAUUGUAAACCUCUGUCAACAGGGACGAAAAUGACGGUACCUGUGAAGGAAGCUCCGGCUAACUACGUGCCAGCAGCCGCGGUAAUACGUAGGGAGCAAGCGUUAUCCGGAAUUACUGGGUGUAAAGGGAGUGUAGGCGGGACUGUAAGUCAGAUGUGAAAUAUGCGGGCUCAACUGGCAGACUGCAUUUGAAACUGCGGUUCUUGAGUGAAGUAGAGGUAAGCGGAAUUCCUAGUGUAGCGGUGAAAUGCGUAGAUAUUAGGAGGAACAUCAGUGGCGAAGGCGGCUUACUGGGCUUUAACUGACGCUGAGGCUCGAAAGCGUGGGGAGCAAACAGGAUUAGAUACCCUGGUA
rnacentral:rRNA from 1 species